AGCUGCACCCAGACACACACACAGGGUUGAGUAUUGUUUAGUCGUAUGUUUUCUGUGUUAAUCCAUGUUCCUAGUUCCAUGUUCCUAGUUCCAUGUUCCUAGUUCCAUGUUCCUAGUUCCAUGUUCCUAGUUCCAUGUUCCUAGUUCCAUGUUCCUAGUUCCAUGUUCCUAGUUCCUAGCUCCUAGCCUUGCCUUGUUUUUGACCCUGGACUGUUUAUUCCUUGUUUGAUGAUCUUUUCUGCCUGCCUUGACCAUUGCCUGUGACUUGGAUUACUCUUCUGCCUUGCCCUUAUGUUUCUGUUUGCUGAUGUUUGAACCUUGCCUGUACGAUUACGCUCAUUCUAAUAAAGACUGCGUUUGGAUCUACCCCUUGUCGUCACGACUCCCAACGUUACAUGGAGAGAGAAGUGCCCUUGAUGAGGAAACCAUGGCAGCCAUAUACGGAAAUGCAUUGAACCGAUUACUUGAGCUGAGAGUAAAAAGGGCAGUUAACACAACAUUUGUUAACUCACAUGUUAACAUCAGUUAUAAUGUCAACAUUUAUAAAUUGAACAUUUUGUUACUGAAUUACAGAACUUUCUUUUCUCUCUUUUUUUUAAUUGUUUCUUUUUUUUUUUUCAUUCCAGGUACUUUGGGUUUGGUUUGCAAAUGCGACCUGCUCUGGUCACAUAUGGAGCUGUAGAAAGAACUUUUGUUGAAUGUUCAUUCAGUGGUUUCUUCUCAGUUCCUUGUGGGGUGCAUUGUUCUUUGACCUCAUUUGGAGUGGAGAAUUUGUGCUUAGAUUCAGCAGAGGGGGUCUGAACAAAGGGGAGCGACAUUUCGCUGUGGUCUAACUUUUGUGGUGGUGGCUCCGCGACAGGAAGGAUAUGUUUUCGGUUUCGUCUGUAUUCUCUUCCUUCAACCUCCACAAGGUAUGAUCUUGGUUCAUCGCAGAGCUGUUUGUCGAGUCCGAUUUGGUCAUGGCCUUUGGACGUUGCAAGUCUCACUUUCUCUCCUUGUAAGAGUGGUCGGAGAGUUCUGCUGGACUUGUCAUAGUAUGUCUUUUAACAAUGUCUCUUUUUUGAGAUCUGAUUCUUGACAGCAUUGUUAUUCUUUGACGCUGGCACCAGAAUGGACUUGCUGAUUGGCAGAGAUGUGCGCGUCUGCCUCGACGUUAAUCUCUCUGCUGGUGAGCCCAGUGUCUGGUCACGUGGAACAUUUCUGAGGUUCAGCAAGUUUUGAAACGCAUCAGAGCCGUCCCUCUUGGAUUUCUCCACACUGCAAAAAAUGCUGAGAGCCCAGUCUCAACUCUUCUCUUCUGAGCGUGCCCGGGUGGCGUUCGUCAUCUCCUUACUCUCUGGACGAGCGCUACAAUGGGCUCAACCCCUCUGGGAAUCCAACGCCCCAGUAACAGCCACCAUCGCCGCCUUCUUCAGCCAUUUCCUGGAGGUUUCGGUCAAAGUACCGCCAAUCUUUCAGUACACGACCAGGGCCCGUAUGUAUAAAACUUCUCAGAAAUGCUCUUAAGAAUAGUCUUAAGUUUUGACUUGUCAAAAAAUUCUUGGUAAAGAGUAGGACUUUUCUAAGAGUAGGAGACUUUUAUAAAGAAGCUAAAAGCAACUAUUAGUAAAGUAUAAGACCGAUUCUUAAGUGCUGACUGAAGUCGCACUUAAGUGUUGUGAACUAGGACUACAAUGAUGUCAACUCAAAAUGGCUGUCCUUAACCUCUGAAUCAGCCAAUAGCGAGCCUGCAAGGGUGAAGUCACAGCAGCAUGACACCAAUCAUUUAAUGUUAUUAUUAAAAAAAAAUAAAUAAAUAAUUGUAAAAGACACUGAAACGUUUUAAUGUUUUAAUUUAUUUUUAAAAAUAGCUUUGCACUGUGCAAAAUUAUCACAAAUUAGUAUUGACGGUGUGGAAUCUUUUUCUAUUGAUAUGUCUCCAUUUACGGUUAGAGCAAUGAUGUGAACACGAGUUCAUCAACGGCUCCAACAACUGCAGGGAAGCCCACAGUCAACAUAAAAGUGGCUUGCUUUUGCCACAUGGUUUGAUGGUCAGUUGGAAAGUCAAUGUACUGCCAUAGAAUAGUGGCCAAAUGUGAUGUCCAGCCAUAUGAAAAUUGACAUCCUCAACCUUAAUUCAAAUAUUUUUUAAAAAUGUGUUAAAAGAUAAAAAAGUUAAAAGAGCAUAUCGUGUAGCUGUGCUUGGAGUCAAUUGUUUCAUGUGUGAUAAUGAAAUGAUUUCAAAUUAUUUCAAAUUAUUUUUGGACAGGCUGUCAUGCAAAGUAAUUAUGAACACAUGUAAAAAAAAAAAAAAAAAAAAAAAAAAAAGAACCAAUGAGAAAUUAAAACUGAUUAUGUUGUAGUCAAUGUCAUAUUUUAUAACAUUUAAAUAAUAUAAACAUAAAAAUAAAAAUAUUUUCAUAUUUUGAUGGUUUAAGCAAAAUUGUAGGGUCAUUUAAAAAAAAAAAAAAAACUUUGCACAUCAAUUUUGGCCACUAUGUUUGGUGUGGUAAGUUUACACAAUACUAAAGAGCUCAAAAGAAUAUCACUGCAAUGAAGGUUUAUGACUGGGCAAGCGCUUUAAAACCUUGUUUAUAUUAGAAAAGCUUUCCAGCGCUGGAGAGAGCUAAGCAGGAAGGCCUGAAAACAGAUGAGGAGGCUGCUUUGAUUCCUUCUCAUGUAAUUAACACUAGGUUUUGAUUGUCUGGAGCUGCUGUUCUGUUGGUGAUUAACAACAAACUUUUUUUUGUAUUUACUCUAGUGUACUGUACGUUAAUUUUUUGUGCUUCCUUGUCGUUCAUUCAUCAUCUGCGCUUUAUUUUUCGUGUAGCAUUUUGUUGCGUGUCAGCUGUGAUAAACAGACAUCCACUCUCGUACUGCGUGUGCAACAGCGGCCAAAUAGUGAGAGUUGUGCAGUUAAACUACUGCACAUUGACGCCCACUAGAGCAUGAGGUGUUUAGCGUCAUUGUUAGUGCACUCGCCUUGCAUGCCAGCAGCGUUUGGGCCGGGGUUUGAGACCGACUCGGAGCAGGGCGAUUAGUAUUGGAGUGUGAGUUUCGGAGGUGGCGCAAUGAAGAGAGGGAUGUGUUUGUUUGGGUUGAUUUCAAAUAUCAACAGUGUUCAACAACGAAUUUGAGAAAUCGCAUACAGCACCUUUUAAAUGUAUUAAAAUGCAGUAAACAUUAAUUAUUGUUUAAGUAAUAUUUAUUUUAUUUAAAGUUAUUACAUUUCUUGUUAGGUCAGUUACAAAAAGAAUUGACAAUCAAGUUUAUAUCAUAACUCAAAUACAUCAUAUCUUCAUUGGAGAGUGUGUGUCUCUUCUUCUUUGCUGCCAUCUUGUUACUCCUAACUAGGUUUAGAGACCUCUCCAGCUCUCUUAAAUAAUUUAGGAGCUGAGACCUAGUCUUGACACUUAGGAACCUUUAUGAAUCAUACUGUCACGGAGUCACAGCCAACAGCCACCAACAUCCACACAUCGUCACCGGAUCUCCACGCUCCACCCACUCGUUCCCAGUCUCCGGAAUACUAAUCAACUGCACCUGCACCUCAUCACCUAUGGACACUAUAAAGACAUUCACUUCCCUUACUCUGGUCUGGUCUCGUCUACGUACCUGGACUCCUUACCUGCUACUCACCUGAGUUUACUGUGUUCCCAUCCUGUCGCCUUCCGUCUCCAGUAUCUCUGUGUUCACCAAUAUCUGUAAAAGGCUUUACUCUGUUAUUCAGCCAGCUAAGCUACCAUUCAAAGUGCUUGUUCAUUUACUCACCUGCAUCCACCAUCUGCCUGUGUUCCUGCCUCUGUUAAAUAAAUUUGUGUGUUUCACUCACA